UACGUAGGGGGCAAGCGUUGUCCGGAAUCAUUGGGCGUAAAGAGCGUGUAGGCGGUCCGUUAAGUCGGCUGUGAAAGUCCAGGCUCAACCCUGGGAUGCCGGCCGAUACUGGCGGACUAGAGUCCGGAAGAGGUGAGUGGAAUUCCCGGGUGUAGCGGUGAAAUGCGCAGAUAUCGGGAGGAACACCAAUGGCGAAGGCAGCUCACUGGGACGGUACUGACGCUGAGACGCGAAAGCGUGGGGAGCAAACAGG
rnacentral:rRNA from 1 species